UACAGAGGUCUCAAGCGUUGUUCGGAUUCAUUGGGCGUAAAGGGUGUGUAGGUGGCGCCGGUAAGUCGGGUGUGAAAUUUCGGAGCUUAACUCCGAAACUGCAUUCGAUACUGCGGUGCUUGAGGACUGGAGAGGAGACUGGAAUUCAUGGUGUAGCAGUGAAAUGCGUAGAUAUCGUAAGGAAGACCAGUGGCGAAGGCGGAUCUCGUGGACAGUU
rnacentral:rRNA from 1 species